UGGAGAAUAUUGCACAAUGGGCGCAAGCCUGAUGCAGCAACGCCGCGUGAACGAUGAAGGUCUUCGGAUCGUAAAGUUCUGUUGCAGGGGAAGAUAAUGACGGUACCCUGUGAGGAAGCCCCGGCUAACUACGUGCCAGCAGCCGCGGUAAUACGUAGGGGGCUAGCGUUAUCCGGAUUUACUGGGCGUAAAGGGUGCGUAGGUGGUCUUUCAAGUCGGUGGUUAAAGGCUACGGCUCAACCGUAGUUAGCCUCCGAAACUGGAAGACUUGAGUGCAGGAGAGGAAAGUGGAAUUCCCAGUGUAGCGGUGAAAUGCGUAGAUAUUGGGAGGAACACCAGUAGCGAAGGCGGCUUUCUGGACUGCAACUGACACUGAGGCACGAAAGCGUGGGUAGCAAACAGG
rnacentral:rRNA from 1 species